GGACAGAGCAGAGGGGUCACUGGGUCAAUGCUGGGGGCAGAGGGGGGCAAAAGGAGAAAAAAUUAAAAUAUUCUCUAAGAAGUCACUGAGAUGAGGCAGUUACAGCAGUAUUAGCACAACACACACACAGACACCAAGAGACACAGACAUGGGAACACUGAAGGACACCCAGAGACACACUGAGGCACUGCCAGGUGUGCACAGACACCCACGGGGGGAGAUGGUGACCAAGAGACCCUGACACACAGACACACACAGAGCUAUGUCAGCCAGCUGCAGCCAGCACCACCCAGCACCAGAAGGCAAUUGUCAUUUCUGUGUUUACCCUAAGUGUCUGCACCCUCCUUUCCUUAUCCAUGGCAUGUCUGUUUUGAUUGGCCAGGAAGAAAAGCUGUUGGCACUGAUGUUAUCAAUUUUCUGAGCUUAUCAUCAGCUUUGUAGUAAGUGGAGGGGGGUAGAGGGGCAGAGGACAAUCCCUCCCCAGCACAGAUCCAGGAUCACACCCCACACUGAGCAUGGCCAGCUGUGACAGGUUGCUCAUAGUCCUGUCCAGUUGCUAUCUGAGUUCACUCAAGGAUGGAGAUUCUCCUCAAAGCUCUUUGUAUCCCUCUCAAAAGCACUCUGUCCCCAGUGUGAAGGAAGUGCUGACAUUUGUUCAGAGCUCCCCUUGCUGCAAUGUCUGAUGUGGUCUUAGGCAGAAUGUUGCUUAAUACACUCAGCAUUACAUCUACAAUGAAGGCACUCUGGUAGAAAUCCUAACCUCCUCUCCCAAGGGAAAUGGGGUGACAGUGGCACAGGACCUGGAGUGCAGCAGCUGUGAAGUGCCACAACCCUGCCCUUCCUCCCCUCUGAAACACACACAGGAAUUGGCUGUUACUACUUGCCUGUGUAGCAAUACUCUGAACAGUCAAUAUGCAUCCAGUGGUUAAAAUAAUCAUCAUUUAUCAGCUCUUCCAGAAUUGGCUGCACCUCUGACCAGUGCACACAAAGGAUUUACAGAGACACUUUUUUUACAGACAUUUCUCAAGUGCCAAACCAGACUUCUCUGGCCAGACAGCAUCCCAGUCAAUGGGCAGUUAAUAACUUCUGGAAGAAUUCUACUCUCCACUGGACUAUCAGUACUCUUUCUAAGUGUCCUCACUUUGGAUUCUAGUCUUGCACACCACAUCUGGAGCUAGGAUCCAAUUCCCUAUGCAAGACUGAGAUCAGGUAAAAAAGCUGCUCACACAAAGUGCUGGAGUUACAGCAGCAGCACAGAAAACAGGUAAGGCUCAAACCCACAAACCCACUGUGCUCAACAUGCUCACCCCACAGACUGCUCUGAAGAGGAUUCAUCACAAAAUACUAUCCUUACUUUAACAGCAGCACCACCUCCCAACUCUCACCAUAACCCUGGGUGCUUCCUAAACAAACUGUCACAGAUCAGGUGUAACCUCCUCAUGUUUAAGUGAUCAGACACUCAGAGUCAUCUCAUCCCCCAAGUUACUCAUUAAAUGGCAAAGUGUAGCUGUGUGAGAGAUGGUAACAGAUUAACCCAGCCCACAAAAUUUCCUGCUGCACCUGCAUUUGGGCUGGAGUGGCUCCCACAGCUCGGGCAAUGGGCAGCACUGGGGUGAACCCUCAGUUCAGCUGGGCUGUGCACAGAGGGCAGAUCCCAAGGGCAUCAGCUAAACCUGGGAGAAUGGGGCUCCUGGCUGGCCAAGAACAGCUCUGACAAGAUCUCUGGGCUAAAUGGACAAGAAGUGCCAGUUCCACAAGAAGUGUCCAAUUGAACCAUGAAGAAUCAGAGCUGUGAGAUAUCAGGAACUUUUCUCUGGAGCUGAACCUUUAACAGGGGCCAGAAAUGCAGAUUUGUGUACAAAACAAACUGAAGCUCCUGAUGUGAGUCUGAACAACACCAACCCUUCUGGAUUUUAGGGUAGAAUCAGCUGAAUUGCUCAGGAAAACAGUUCUGCAUUGAGGUACAUGAAAAGGACAAAGGGAUUGAGUCAGGGGUGGUUUGGGGUGUUUUUUAAAGGUGUUGGUUCUACCUGUUCCUCUCCUUCUGUAGAUAUCCAUUUAGGAAGCUUCUUGUGAAAACAGCCAUGAUUCUUGAUUACCUAAAUCUGCCCAGAUUUCAUUUGGUCAAAUAAAACACAGAAUUAUGUAAAGGAUGUCAAUCAAAUGAAAGACGAUUUCCUGAAGCUACCAGUUAAGUGAACCAGUGGCUACUAAAUAACAUAGUCUGUGCUCUGACCAAAAAAAAAAAAAAAAAAAAAGGAAAAAAAAAUCUAUUUAAAACUAUUAGUUUAGAAGUUUAGAAUAUCUGAUUCAGACACUGUGGGUGUAUACACUGUUCAAGUUCUAAUAGCAUCAGAACCAGCACAAAUUGUCUUUGUGCUAACUUCAAGUGAGAACAGGUCAGUUCCCAUGGAGAGAAGAGUUCCCCCAAGGCAGCCUUUACUGUCUCUCCUGUUCUGCCCAUUCCCUGAAGGACAGGGGGGUGUCAGCUCAGAGGAGCCCCCUCUGUGUCCAGCAGAGUCCUUGGCUCACCACUGCACUGCAGGAGAUUCCCACUGUGCAGGACACUGCUCUGCCAUCCAGGAGCCAACCAUCUGCACCUGGGUGUCCCAAGAGCUUCCCAAAACCUCCUGAAAACCAGGUCACAACAGGGAUAACUCAGAAUCCAGGCACCUGCCAGUAAUAAAAGAAUCUCAGCUUCACACUGAGAACACUUCAUUUCUUGGGAUGCCAGAAUGGCAGAAAUUAGCUUUUCUUUAAAUGGAGAGGCCUUUCACCUGAUGUGUCAAAAUAUCAGGCUGUGCUCCUCCAGAUUGACUGCAGUGAAGCACACCUUCAUGUAACAGCAUCAUUGAAGAAGUCUGUGGCAAGACUGAUAUGCAAACAUCAGUGUUUUGAACAAGUUUGCAGCACUCCCCUCCCAGACUCUGAGCUGGCAGCCCCUGGCAGGUGGGGCAGCAUCCAGCAAGUGCUGAUUCCUUCUUCAUUGUUACUGCUUCAGUUGUUUUAAUUCUCCUACUGAGUUCCACCAUGUACCUGCUCAUGAGGGUUAUGGGCAUUGCAAAGCCCACCUGACAGUGAGUAUGGUACAACAGCAACUGCUCAAGCUUUAAGGAGGGAACUGCUCACACCUCAUUAAAUGCUGGAGCCUCAGCCUGUGCCUGCUGUGCUGCUCACGUUCUCUACCACAGGGGGAGGACUCACCACUUCUACUGUCAGCAGCAGCACCACACUGGUACAACACAAAGCAUCAGCCACAAUGUCCUGUACCAGCCACCACAGGAACUCCUGUCCAGAGCUCCCAGCCCAAGCAAAGCUGAGGCUCAGGUUUUCAGAUUGAUGCAGUCACGUUGCACCUUCCUCUUCCACAUGUGCUGCUUUUUUCCAGGAGGUUAUCAGAUUCCAUCAGCUUGAAGAGUUUAAAUGCACCAUACUGUUCUCCAGCACAGAAUGUUUUCUGGAAGGAUGUCACCGAAGACAGUAGGAAAGAAACCACAAUAAGCAACACAAGUCAAUCUUUAUUGAAAACUGAAGUAUUAAUACAUAACAAUUCUUGUUACAAUAAACGUGCUUUUAAGAAUUUAAACUUGAGCUCAUCUACUCAUUGAAUUGCAUAAAAAAUAAAAAAAGUAUGAAUUUUCACAAUUGAACUGGCUCAGAAUGGAAUCUCCACUCUUUGUGUUGAUGCGAUAGUUCAAUGCAGGAGUGAGUGAUGCCUUAAAACUUAUUCUGGAAGACAACAUUGACCUAAACUUAAAAAAAAAAGUACCAAUACAACUGUUCCUAAGACAGUUUUAAAAAAAGUCAUAAAAAGGAAACCUGUGUCUAUUUCAUAACAAACAUGGAGAACUAUUACUGGGGCCUCUUGUACUUCCAUUGCAUGCACUCACUUUUUUAGAUCUUAGGACAGGAGGGCAGCCAAUAAUAGCAUUACAAUUAAAAAAAACCCACUAACAAAUCCCUUCUACUUAAAACAAGUCUGUACAGCAGCCAGCUAAAAAAGCUUUCCCAGUUUGCCUGCUAAGUGCCCAAAAGUCACAAUCGGUUUAGAAAAGUCAUGUUCAUUUUCUUGAUGUUGAAACUUCAGGGCCCAUAAAUUGUCCAGAUGUAAAAGUCACAAAUGGACCCUUUACUACGAGUGAAAUUCAGAUGUUUCAGUGUUCUAAGCAACCUGCACAAGAAAAGGUUUCUUGUCCCCACUGUUCCUCUUCCCUCCCUGGUGCCUACAGCACACCUUGCUGGGCAGAGGCUGCAGAGUGCCCAGAGCCCUCCCAGCAGAGGGGAAGCAGCUCAGCUCUGGGCCAGCCCUGCUCCAGCUGCCCACCCUGCUGCAGUGCUCCUGCCAGGAGCUGGGGCAUCUCACCUCCUGUGUGAGGGGCUCUGCAGGAAGCCUCGAGCUGACAAACACAGGAUUGGAAGCUGACACUUGUUAAUGAGAACAGGGUGAGUGGGCUGAAAUGGCCAUGUCUUUUACAGCCCUCCCAAAGGCUGCCUCCCAGGGCUGAGGAAGCUGGACUGACACAGGCUGGGGCCGUGUCCUGAGGAGCACUGCACAAACACAGCCCAGGCAGCCAUGGAGCAGGCACAGCCACAGGCUCUGUGCCACACCUCCAGCUGCAGCAUCACUAUUGCUCACCUUCCUAAGAUGGGAGGUCUCACACACACAGGAGUGUGGUAACACAGGUCCCACCCCUGGUUUGAGCCUAGAGUUAGGUGGUGGUGUCAGGCUGAUGUGCUGACCCACAUGAGCAGUGUGGAGCACUGUGCUGAAGCACUGGGGAGUGGUUCCAAGUCCAUGCUCUCGCCCUGCUGGCCAAGGAGCAGUGAAGGCAGGACCCUGCAGGAGAGCAGCCCAUGCUGAGUGCCCUGGGGCACAGCUCUGAACCAUCAGCUCUCCUGACACCAGCCAGACACCCUGCUACUGAUGGGUGGUGGUUUGCUUGUUGUUUGGUUAGCUUUAUCAGUGGAUGGAGCGAUACAAGGAAGAACUUCAAUGGAAAUAAAGGACUUUUUCACCUACAGCUGCAUCUAAGCAUUUAACUUGCAUAGUACACUCAAAAUGAAGCUUUCUUGAGCAGCAAUCCUGCAUGUCUCCUAGAAACUCCUAACAGGAGAGGGUUACAACAAGCAUAAGCAACAUCUAGCAGUAGGUCGUCUCUUUUCCUUCCCAGUGUUUAGUAAACCACCACCACACUGAUAGGGCUAUGUGGUUUUGGUGCCAAUUAUUAGCCAUUUUUCUUUCGCUGCUGCUACAUUUAAAAGACAUUUUCAUCAGCUGUUACUGACAUAGGGAAUACCUUGGUUUUUAAAAAAUACUUUAUCUAGACGCAACACUUGAAAUUUGAAUUAAAAAAAAUUCUUGGACUUCUCUUAGUUAUUGCUGCAACAGUUAUUUUCAGUUCCAGGUUUAUAGUAGUACUUUUUUUUUUUUUAAUUAUAUAAAGCUGCCAUAAAAGUUUUCUUUUUUAAAGAGAAGCUUGAUCUGAAAUGUCUCUACUGCACCAGCUCUUUUAAUUUGCUGAGGAGCUUUAGUGCAAACACAUACUGCGUUUUCAUUUAUAAAGGAAUUCUAAAUAGGGAAUGUUAUAUAAAAAGCAGGAGAGAAUGUUUCGUAAGACCCUCGCUGUGUAAACGCCUAUUUAAUGAUGUACAGUUUCCCCCACUGCAGUUUUAUAUCCAUGCUUUCUACUAUUUGCAACAAAAUACCAUUGAGAUAGUUAUAUAUACACAUAUUCCCCCAUCCCCCUGCACUGUGCUUUUGGUUACUUUUCAGAAGAACUCCUGGAGACAAGCUCCAGCCUCCCAGUAGGAUCAGAAUCGCUCAGGACUGGAAGGUGCAGUACCUUUGGAAAAGGUACACUCUCUCCCUCCUGGAUGAAUCCCAUAAUGCAACUCAGAAAAAAAAGUGCUCAAGUAAGUGAGACUGCCUAAGUGUUAUGGAAUACUACACGGAGCCCAGUUCCAAGCUGACACUGAGGAAUCUGAAGUUAGAGCAAAUCUAUAGGAAGUUAUAUUAAUUCCUUGACUAUUCUCUAUUGCAGCAUUCACGGAAGUUCUCUCCUAUGACUUUAUUCAUGAUGAUGAGACAGGAGACAGCAAAACUUCCAGCCUGGCCCUCACAGCUCCUCCCCACAGAGCACAGCUCUGCUCCAGCCCUCAGCUCCUGCUCGGGACGAGCGCCCUGCGUUGGUGCUCACUGUGCUCUGCCACACCUGACUGAUCACAGCUGCAAAUCUAACACACACAUGGAAUUGUUACACACACUGAACAAAGCAGUACACAUUCAACUAAGGUUGUCUUGGAUCAUUUCUGCUCCAUAUAAAAACAUAUGGAAAUCCCUAAGCUGCAGUAAGUGCUCAUGAGUAAGGUUGAAAGUACUUAUUCCAACAACAUCGUUAUGUUCAAGGCAUUAGAAAUAAGGGGGCCAUCCACUGACAGUGAUUCAUGCAAAAUAAACCUAAACUUUAUUUAAAAAAAAAAAAGGGUACAAAAUACAGAGAGUGCUUACUGUAAAAAAUAAAGUUACUGAAGGCUCUAACCACCAAUUGGGUAUGAAGGUACACAAGCCUCUCACCAGGGCAGAGUACUGGGAUGGCAGCACUAAAUCAGCACUGAUGCUACCCCAAAUCAGCUGCCAAACCUGUACAGGAGCAGAACACCCCAAAACAAAGCAUAACUAAGAUACACAACUUCAAAAAAUUUAAUUCUGAAUGGAAGUUAACCUACGAGAACAAGACAGCCUGAUAUACCUCUGUGUAAAUGCUUAAAAGGGAACAACAUUUUAUAUCCAUUUACUGCAUAAUUUAUUGCAGGCAGAAUGUAUAAAAAAAAAUUGCAUCUUUCUGGAAUUGUAAAUCAAGCAGGUUUAAGAAGAACCUCGGUUUUAAUGUGCAAUAUUCAAAUUUAAAAAUUUAAAAUCUCUCCCAUAACAAUUUUGGUAUACAAAUGGGUUCCAAGGCUAGCCCUUUAUCCCCACAGCAUUUGCUUUGAGGUACUUUAAAAAUUGAAGUUGCAAGAAAGAAUAUCACAAAUGACUCAUUGCAAUGAAAUGCUAAUCUGCAGUCGAGUCUUAUUUUACGUGCUUCCAAGUGCAAUUUAGGAAGUAAAAAAAAAAAAAAA